AUGGCCACCUGCCUCUCUGACAUGAUCAAUGACCAUUCCCUUGAUUUUCUGGGAUUACAAGAAACUAUGAAGAAAGACUUCUCCUCUAAAUGCUUGAGGAGAAUUGAUCCCUUUGACAUUUUUCAAUGGACCUGGAUUCCUUCCGUGGGAAAAUUUGGUGGCAUCCUGUGUGGGGUUAGAAGUGAUAAGUUAGAGAUUACUGCCUGUACCAAGGGGAAACAUAUUCUACAACUGGUGCUGCAGGAUAAGCAGAAAAAACUGAAGUGGCUGCUUGUAGUAUAUGGACCAUCCCAUGAGGAGUUGAAAGGGGAAUUUUUGGUCGAGCUUGCUGCAUCCUGCAAUGGGAUGCAAGUGCCUUACAUUGUUGGGGGCGACUUUAACAUCCUUAGGCAUACCGGUGAAAAGAACAAGAAGCUUAAUAGUCACAAAUCUUCUGAUCUAUUUAACUCUAUUAAUACCGUAGCUCUGCGUGAGAUCCAUGUUAAUGGAGGUAAAUACACCUGGACCAACCAACAUGCCCACCCCACCUUGGAAAAAUUGGACUGUAUCCUCAUGUCUGAAGAUUGGGAAGACAUGUUUCCACUCAUUCAUGUUCGGAAACUAGUUUGUGAAUUUUCUGAUCACAAUCCUUUGCUGCUCUCCACUGGGAGGAGGGGAGAGAUGCCCCAAAACCAAGAGAGUUUCGUUUCCAUCUUUCCUGGAUCAAAGACGACAGAUUCCUACCGCUAG
rnacentral:rRNA from 1 species